UGCAACAAAUGAACAUUAUUCAUACAACUAAAAUAGAUUAUUCAUGCACAAUUACCUCUAGUUACUCGAGGACUAUUCUCCACAAAAUCAGAUGUCUCAGUCACACCUUUCCCCUGUACUUUGUUCUUUCGCUUCCCUACAAAAGAAAAAAAAAAUAAUACCACUGUUAAAAAAUGAGAAAAACUUCAGAUCUCACCACAACAUGUACAAUUUCACUCAAAAGGAUACUAAAAAUAGCAAAUACUAUACUAUGCAGAACAAUUCGCACAAAAUCACGAAAAAAAAAAUGAUAACCUCUGUUUGCAGUACAAUCUCACCGGGUGGAUUUGAUUUAGUAUAAGCCAUGGAAAUCGAUGUUCAAAAGCCUUCGUUUGUGAACCGACUGACAAUUUCGCC
rnacentral:lncRNA from 1 species